rnacentral:rRNA from 1 species
UACGUAGGGUGCAAGCGUUGUCCGGAAUUAUUGGGCGUAAAGAGCUCGUAGGCGGUCUGUCGCGUCUGCUGUGAAAACUCAGGGCUUAACCCUGAGCUUGCAGUGGGUACGGGCAGACUAGAGUGCGGUAGGGGAGACUGGAAUUCCUGGUGUAGCGGUGAAAUGCGCAGAUAUCAGGAGGAACACCGGUGGCGAAGGCGGGUCUCUGAGCCUUACCUGACGCUGAGGCGCGAAAGCUAGGGGAGCGAACAGG